AUUAGGGUUGGGGACACAACUGCGACCCACAUGAGGCUGAGGUUGGCAAAGGAGGACUGCACGUAUGUGAAAGCUGGGGGACAUUCCCCAGCUCUCAGAGGUGGGCAGAAGGGACGAUGGCACAGGACAGGAUUCGUUUCGUGGCAAAGAGGGAGGUAUGAAUAACCCAGAGGGCAGACACUUGUGAGCCUCUGGUGGGCUGCCCAGAGUGCCUAUCUACAUGCCCAGGAAUCAAGGCUCACAUACAAAGACUAUUGAUGCUUACGGUCAAAUUCACUUCUGCCAAGGAACGGAAACAACCGACAGAGGGGACAUUGCUCUAUCUACGUGAAGCCACAGCGACAAACACGUAGGAUCUGAACAUGAGGAGACAGGAUAAUCUGUGUCUGUGAUGGCACGUCAUGGACACAUCUGCGUAAACAGUUGCAGCCCGUUAAGUGCAGCCAAGGAUGUAGACAGAGCACAACCUCCCCCCUCGCUCAGACAGAACGGCAGGGGCACACUCAGAACUUCCAUAUUCUUCCCUCUCUGAGUCAUGGCCAUGGCAGCUUUUCCUUGUAGGACAAUGGUUGACGACGAGCUUUGUCUGAGACCCAGGCCGUCCUGCCCAUCAGGUUCCCUGUUACGGCUGCUCCCUACACUUCUCCAGCCCGCGCACCCCCACACCCCACUCCCAAGAGGGGUGGGACCAAUGGCAGCAUCAGCAAAUGUCUCUUCUUCAUUCAGGUUUGCUGGGGAGUGUGUUUUCCUGCACCCUUUGGGUGCGUGGAAAGGAAUUGUGUUCAUUUCUCCCUCAGUUCCGAUCAGUUCACAAUCAACAAGUAUUUACUGCAGUAUUUACGCCUCCAAAGUGCUUAGCACGGAGCAGGUAUGGCACGGGUACAGGAAAAGAAAGGCACAGAAGCUCUAUAUUCAAGGCCCUUAGGCUUCACUUAAAAAGAACAACCCAUCAUUAUGCAACAUAAGACAGGUGCGCCACUGAAGAUGUGUGCCAUGUCAAAUAUACAAUCUAGGAUCCACAAGUCCCUCCUCUGGGCUCCCGUAGCUAAUGGUGUGCUUAUUGUAACAGCAUUUACAAUAAGCUGAUUAUGUAUCAGGCAGGUUCUCAUGCAUCAACUAAGUGUCAAAAGAGAUAGCUACUAUUUUUCAAAUAAAGAAAAUGGGCAUAAAAUAGACAUAAGUCAACAGAAGAGAAUAAAAAAAAAAAACCAUAGAAAUAAACCCAUAGGUAGAUGGUCAAUUAAUCUUCAGCAAAGGAGGCAA